rnacentral:rRNA from 1 species
AAUACGAAGGGACCUAGCGUAGUUCGGAAUUACUGGGCUUAAAGAGUUCGUAGGUGGUUGAAAAAGUUGGUAGUGAAAUCCCAGAGCUUAACUCUGGAACUGCCAUCAAAACUUUUCAGCUAGAGUUUGAUAGAGGAAAGCAGAAUUUCUAGUGUAGAGGUGAAAUUCGUAGAUAUUAGAAAGAAUACCAAUUGCGAAGGCAGCUUUCUGGAUCAUUACUGACACUGAGGAACGAAAGCAUGGGUAGCGAAGAGGAUUAGAUACCCUCGUAGUCCAUGCCGUAAACGAUGUGUGUUAGACGUUGGAAAUUUAUUUUCAGUGUCGCAGCGAAAGCGAUAAACACACCGCCUGGGGAGUACGACCGCAAGGUUAAAACUCAAAUGAAUUGACGGGGACCCGCACAAGUAGUGGAGCAUGUGGUUUAAUUCGAAGAUACGCGCAGAACCUUACCAACACUUGACAUGUUCGUCGCGACUUUAAGAGAUUAAAGUUUUCGGUUCGGCCGGACGAAACACAGGUGCUGCAUGGCUGUCGUCAGCUCGUGUCGUGAGAUGUUGGGUUAAGUCCCGCAACGAGCGCAACCCUCACUUUUAGUUGCCAUCAUUUAGUUGGGCACUCUGAAAGAACUGCCAGUGAUAAGCUGGAGGAAGGUGGGGAUGACGUCAAGUCCUCAUGGCCCUUACGUGUUGGGCUACACACGUGCUACAAUGGUAUCUACAACAGGAAGCAAAACGGCGACGUUAAGCAAAUCCUUAAAAGAUACCUCAGUUCGGAUUGCACUCUGCAACUCGAGUGCAUGAAGCUGGAAUUACUAGUAAUCGUGGAUCAGCGUGCCACGGUGAAUGCGUUCCCGGGUCUUGUACACACCGCCCGUCACACCAUGGGAGUUGGUUCUACCUUAAGGCAAGGUUUCAAACCCUUGACCACGGUAUAGUCAGCGACUGG